rnacentral:rRNA from 1 species
UACGAAGGGGGCUAGCGUUGCUCGGAAUCACUGGGCGUAAAGCGCACGUAGGCGGCUUUCUAAGUCAGGGGUGAAAUCCUGGAGCUCAACUCCAGAACUGCCUUUGAUACUGGAAAGCUUGAGUUCGGGAGAGGUGAGUGGAACUGCGAGUGUAGAGGUAAAAUUCGUAGAUAUUCGCAAGAACACCAGUGGCGAAGGCGAGUCCCUGGACAACUCCUGACACUGAGGCACGAAAGCUAGGGGAGCAAACAGG